ACGCUCGACACCUACGGGGGCAGCAGUCGGGAAUAUUGCGCAAUGGAGGAAACUCUGACGCAGUGACGCCGCGUGCAGGAAGAAGGUUUUCGGAUUGUAAACUGCUUUAGACAGGGAAGAAAAAGACAGUACCUGUAGAAUAAGCUCCGGCUAACUACGUGCCUGCAGCCGCGGUAAUCUGAGCGGGCUGGCAAGGC
rnacentral:rRNA from 1 species